rnacentral:rRNA from 1 species
AGCGAACGCUGGCGGCAGGCCUAACACAUGCAAGUCGAACGGAUCCUUCGGGAUUAGUGGCGGACGGGUGAGUAACACGUGGGAACGUGCCCUUUGGUUCGGAACAACUCAGGGAAACUUGAGCUAAUACCGGAUGUGCCCUUCGGGGGAAAGAUUUAUCGCCAUUGGAGCGGCCCGCGUCUGAUUAGCUAGUUGGUGAGGUAACGGCCACCAAGGCGACGAUCAGUAGCUGGUCUGAGAGGAUGAUCAGCCACACUGGGACUGAGACACGGCCCAGACUCCUACGGGAGGCAGCAGUGGGGAAUCUUGCGCAAUGGGCGAAAGCCUGACGCAGCCAUGCCGCGUGAAUGAUGAAGGUCUUAGGAUUGUAAAAUUCUUUCAGCGGGGACGAUAAUGACGGUACCCGCAGAAGAAGCUCCGGCUAACUUCGUG